UCCUCCAAGGCUAAAUACUCCUGACUGACCGAUAGUGAACCAGUACCGUGAGGGAAAGGCGAAAAGAACCCCGGCGAGGGGAGUGAAAAAGAACCUGAAACCGUGUACGUACAAGCAGUGGGAGCACAGGUUUACCUGUGUGACUGCGUACCUUUUGUAUAAUGGGUCAGCGACUUAUAUUCUGUAGCAAGGUUAACCGAAUAGGGGAGCCGGAGGGAAACCGAGUCUUAA
rnacentral:rRNA from 3 species